UUAAUUGAGAUACUUGGUUUCCAACUUCCUGUCUUACUGCCAUAGAUAAUCACUGAUGAAACCAAACAGACAACACCUUUUGGUGGCCUGUGGAGAACGCUGCCCCGUCUGGGUCUUAGGAACGCAGUUGAAUAUGAAUGUUCUCCCGAGUGCUUGCGGAAAAGAAAUGGUGUUAGCCACCUUUUAGACGAAUAGAAAUGAGUACUAGUGAACAGUAAUCGUAGUGACUGAACAGUAAACGGCUCCCACUUCUUGUCCAAAUCACCGAUUCUCCAUUUUCCAGCCCGUCCUGCUGCAGCCUGCCCUGAGCUCCGGAAGCUGGUGGUGCCCCUCAGUGGAUCUUCACCCACAGGAGCACCUGCUGCAGACCAGUGACUUCAAAAGUGAAAUGACUGCCAAAAACUCCACGGCCUCCAAGUUUCUUCCUUCACAUCCAAGCAAGAGAGACUUCACAGUGAUGGACCAGCUAAGUCAUGUGCCCACUCCUGGCCAGUCCAUCACGCGGGUAGCAGAGUCCCUGAGAUGAUCGGCUUAGGCCUGAGCUCUUCAAGGGGAGCAUCUGCUGAACGGGAUGGGUGAAGUGAUGGGAAGCAGAGAAGCAGGCCUGCUCAUUGUGUGAUGGGGGAUGUGGGAGUGUCUGCGGGACACUGGCCGGAGCGUGUGUCUUUCACAGAUUGCACCAAGCCUGGGCGGAGAGUACAUGGUUCUGCACAGGGGUCGGGGUCUGUGGCCUUGGUACCUCCCCAGCCAGAAGAUCACACGUGCCCCUGGAUCUCACAGCCUCUUCAGGAGCGAGCCCUGGACAGCAUUGUCAACAAGACGGGUGCUCGGUGCUUUCCCUGUUUUCUAUCAGAGAAGGUUCUGGUUUCUGAUGACUCCAACCUGCAUGCAGAUUACAUGCCAGCAGGGAGUUGAUGGCAACUGGAAUCGUGCCAACUUCACUUCCUACUGUGAUCCGACAGCCCUUGGCCUGCCCUCUAACCCUCUCCCCUCCAAAGUCGUCUCUCAAGCCUCAGUGGAACAAUCACAGCUCUUCCUCACAGCACAGGGCAACCUGGACCCGGUCUUACGGCUCUCCCAUCUGAUCUGGGAACUAGGACUGCUCAUCUACUAA
rnacentral:lncRNA from 10 species